UUUUUUUUUUUUUUUUUUGUCUUUUGUCUUUUUAGGGCUGCACCCAUGGAAUACGGAGGUUUUCAGUCUACGGGUUUAAUUGGAGCUGUUGCUGCCAGCCUACGCCAGAGCCACAGCAAUGUCAGAUCCAAGCCGCUUCUGCAGCCUACACCACAGCUCACAGCAACACCGGAUCCUUAACCCACUGAGUGAGGCCAGGGAUCGAACCAGCAACCUCAUGGUUCCUAGUUGGAUUUGUUUCCCUUGUGCCAAGACGGGAACUCCCAUGCUUACAUAUUUCUUAUGUCAGCUUUUCCACUAUAACAGCAGAAUUAGGUAGUUGUAACAUAGAAAAACUUAUGACUCACAAAGCUGAGAAUAUUUGGCUUUUUUCAGAAAAGUUUACUGAGUCUUGAAAUAAGGCAACUACAACCUUCUUCACUUUGGAUGUUCCACGUCUCUUAUUUCAUCCUUAUAUAGUUUUUAUGGGUAGUAAUGUCACUCUUUUGAGUGAUUUUGCACCAAGUACAACUGUCUUUUCACUCAUUUUUCUAAAGCCAUAACUCCAUUUCUUUCAUUGAGCUUUUGAACCCACAGACAUUUUUUUUUAAUUUAGUUUCAUUAAAUUUGAUUUUAUGGGAGUCAACCACAUUUCAGUCUUUAAAUAUCUUAGUGAAUAUUUAUUCUGUCUUCCAACAUGCUCAACCUUUCUCCAGGUUAGAUUAAUGCACAAAUCUGAAAAAAAAAAAAAAAAGAUUGCAAUGUCUUCCAUGAAGUGAUCUCAUAAGUGUGGAGAAGAGAACCAUAUAACAAAACACUAGAAAUUUCCUGCUAUUUUGAAUCCACAUCUCUUAGUUAUUAAAGCAGUCUUAUCAGUAACCCCUUCCCCCCCAUUUUGGCCAACUUUAGUUCCCAAGGUCAUUAUAUUUCAAUAAUGCAUUCAUUUAUUCAGCAUAUGUGUAUUGAAUCCCUAUUAUGUCCCAGGCUUGGUGCUGAGGAGACAAUGGUGAAGAGAUUACACAGAUAAUGCUGCCUGUUAGAACAUUCAUCCUAGUUAAUUCAAUAAGCAAGUAAUCAUUCUCAAAUCAUGUGAUUAAAAGUUAUAAUGCAUACAAGUGCCUUAAGUUAUUAGACAUGUAUGCAAUUCAUCACUAAAAUCUACCUUGACUCCUUAAACAGUGUCUUUGAUAGUCCUAGGAUAAAGGGAGCUGAGGGUAGGCUAAUGUGAUGCAUUCUUCUUGGUAAAUCAAUGCUGGUGCCUAGUGAUUGGUGUUUCCCUGCAGUAUGAGUUUCAACCUUCAGUGUCUUUACAAAUCACUUGGGGGAUCUGUGAAAAUGUAGGCUCUGGUUCAGUAGAUCUGGGUUGGAGCCUCAGCUUCAGCAUUACUAACAAGCUCUGAAGAACGGCAUGCUGCUGCUCUCUCACCUCACUCGGAAUAACAAGACCUCACCAGACACUCACCACCCAGAUCUUUGAUGAUCAGUUCCUGCCCUAGAAGGGCAUGUCAUUUUAGAGAAAUAUUAUAGAAAUUUUUGAGCAAAGGCAAGUAGCCUAGUAGAAACCAUAGCCCCAGAGUCAGACAGGUGUGAAUUUAUACACAGACAUGCACUUAACAAUUGUGUGAUCUCGACCUGUGUCCUCUGCUCCCUGCACCUCAAUUUCCUCAUCAGUGAAAAUGGAAAUAAUAUUUUUUGAGGGAAUAAUAUAUCCUCCAUUUUGCUGUGGCCUUGUUGGGAAGAAUAACCCUGAAACACAGCAGACAUUAAACAAAUAAUAGUUUUUCUUAUGUUCAUCAAAAGAGUGAUAUAAACAGAGACAUGCUUUAAGACAAUUGAUUGGAGAACAAGAUGUAGUUUGAUUUUUUAAUGGUGAGAAACUGGAGUACUUGAAUGAAUCAGACAUUGCUUCAGUUUAACCAAUAUUUAAUGAGCCUGUUCUCUGUGUUAGAAACUGUGAUAAAUGCUGGGGGUAUGAGGCUGAUUUAGGUACAGUUUUCAAAGAGUUUGGCAAAUAGACAUUAGAUUUGGAGACAUUUGAUAAACCUGGGUCCAUGGACAAUUUACAUCCCAGAAAAGUAGCACUCAUGAUAGGGAAGUGGAAAUAGGUUUGUUUCAUAUAUAUAUAUUACAGUGGUUAUGGUGAUGGGAUAGUAUUAUAAGAAAAAGAAAAGUGUUAACAGUAAUUCUGAGACCUCAAAACCUGAGAAUAGAGGUUUCAUUAACAGGAAUAAGCAAUGUGAAAGAAAAAUCAGGUAAGGGAGGCAUAAAAUUGAUAUUCCUUUUGCACAUAUUGAGUUGAAGAUUUCUUGGGUCAUCUCACUGUAGAUGAAUUCAAAGAUGUUUUGAAAUAGAAUCACCAUAGGUAGCAAUAUGUGUAACUGAAGCUCAUUUACAGAAUUCAGAGAAAACUAAUAUGGACUUUCCAGUUAUUUUUGUAACAACAUAAUUUGGAUCACAGGUUUGUGUAUCUACUAUGUGUUUGCAGAUAUAGAGAAAGGCAUGAAUGUUUAUGUUUGGUGUUUACCCUACAUUAGCAGUUUAAAAAAAAUUGCUACACUGUUUCUACUCGAUUAAUGACAGUCUGAAUUUGGAAGGCUUGAUAAGUUGUUUACAAGGAAGUUCAGAGGGAGAAAUCAGUACAUGUUUGCAGAAUAUUGUGAAAACAUUUUUCUCAGGUUGUGUUGCUGGAAAUGACAAUUAGUCAAUGUAGGGAAACUGAUAUAUCUUUAGACAAUAAGUCACAUUAAACGAACAUCCAGGCCAACACAGUUAAACUUCUGAGAGAAAAGAUGAAAAUAUGUUGAUAUAUAAAAAUGUUUCACACAAUUCUUACUGCUAGCUGUGAAUUCUCAUUAGAGUUCUCAGAAUAAGAUAAAAGAGAAGAUUUCAUAUUUACAUCAUAUGGACAAAUGUAUGAGGAAUGAGGAAAUGAGGGACUUUGAGACUCAGACUAAAAGAAAGGGUGUCUGAAAGUUUUCUAGAAACGGCCAUGGGAGGCCAGCACAGUGCUAGGAACUUUUGUGUUUGUGUUUUUUGGUUCUCCCCCACAAUGAUCCUGUGCAAUGAGUGGUAAUAUGUAAUAUCUUAUCUUGCAGAUGAGAUAUUACAAUAACAUAAAGUUAAAAUCAUUUGAUCAAGAUUAUUCAGGCACCAUAUGGAGCAUUUUUGGGUUGUCUUCCCACCAACCUCUUUUUCCUUUCCCUCUCAUAAUAGUUAUAAGUUCUGUUCAGUGAUGGAUGUGAUUUCAGAAAUACUGAAUUCGUUUCUAGCUUCAGAGGUGAAGCAUUUGAAUUAAACUAAGCCCAUCAGGGUGUAAUAUUAGAUGGAGAGCCUGGUUGAGGGACAAGCAUGCCAUCUCAGCUCCUCCAAUCCAGAGACUCUAAGAACUUGUACUGAAAACGAUGAGGCAAACAUCACUUUCUCACACUAUUUGUUUGAGUGGAAUGAUGCUGGCAGUCAUUUUACGAUCCAUUAGCUUUAAAGAGCAGUAAACAGGUAGAGAGAUUCAGGCAAAUCAGGUCCUUUGCUAAGCUGCUGGACCACGCCUUCCAGGUUUUGGGAACCUGAAGGAAUUACGAACUUUUCAAGUCCUUGGGACCAUAAUUAACCUUUGGUAUUUAAUCAAAUGUGAAGCUUCCUCUUCUAACAACAAACAUUCUAACUUCUAUAGAUGUCACCUAGGCCAACUUCCUUUUGCUUGAGAUAAGUGAUUAAGCAAUCCCACUCUUGGGCAUAUAUCCAGACAAAUCUUUCAUUGAAAAAGAUACAUGCACAUGAAUUUUCAUUGCAGCACUAUUCACAAUAGCUGAGACAUGGAAACAACCUAAAUGUCCAUUGAUGAAUGAAUGGAUUAGGAAGAGGUGGUACGUGUAUACAAUGGAAUACUACUCAGCCAUAAAAAAGGACACAAUAAUGCCAUUUGCAGUAACAUGCAUGGAGCUAGAGACUCUCAUACUGAGUGAAGUAAAUCACAAAGAGAAAGACACCAUAUGAUAUCACUUACAUGUGUAGUCCAAAAUAUGGCACAAAUGAUCUACCUACAAAACAGAAAAGAUCAUGGACAUGGAGGACAGACUCGUAUUUGCCAGAGGGCAGGGGGAGGGAGUGGGAUGAUUGGGAGUCUGGGGUUAGUAGAUGAAAACUCUUGCAUUUGGAGUGGAUGGACAAUGAGAUCCUGCUCUAUAGCAUGGGGAACUAUAUAUCUAAUCACUUGUGAUGGAACACAAUGGAGGAUAUUGUGAGAAAAAUAAUGCAUAUAUAUGUAUGACUGGGUCACUUUGCUGUACAGCAGACAUUGACAGAACAUUGUAAAUCAAUCAUAAUAAAAUAAAAAAAAAGAAUAAAGAAAACAGUUGUCCAAGACAGCAUAGCUAAUUCAAUAUGAAGUUCAAGCCUGGAGUUCAGGGUUCUGCAUGCAGCAUCUAGUGGAUCCUUCCAACACAACAAGCUGACUUACCAAGGUCACAGAGCAAUUAAAUAAAGCCUAAGAUUUCUAGAGUACUUAGGCGGUAUCACUUCUCAAAGAGCUAUGGUUAAAUACAAAUCACUUUGAAUAUAUUCAAGGAGAAAAAUAGCAAAUGAGAAAAAAUUCACCAUGUAAGAAACGUUUUUACUUUUUUGUUUGGAAACGAUUAAGAAUGUUUUGAAAAUUCUUUGAAGCAGGAUGCUUUGAUGUAUAUACUUUUUUGUAUUCCUUGCUGUGUCAAGCACUGCAUUGGUCAUAAUAGGUAUUCAAAUAAUUCUCAGUUUGAUAUCUGUCUUCCCUACCGGGUUUAUGUUGUGACAGCAGGAACCAUGACUGUGUACUUCAAACAUGCAUUUCCACUGCUUUUCACAGUGUUUGGUGUGUGGUAGAUUCUAAAUAAAUGUGUUAAUGAUAUUAAAUACUGUCAUCCUCUGUGCUUGCACCUAAGGUUCACCUCAGCAGGUAGUCUUAACUUGGCCCAUUUACAUAGUCUAUCUAGAGCAACACUGUCCAAAAGAAACACAAUAUAAAUCACACGUGUGAAGUAUGCAUAUAAUUUUUUUUGGCUACGCCCACAACAUACAGAACUUCCUGGUCCAGGGAUUGAGCCUGAGCCACGGCAGUAAAAAUCUGGAUCCUUAACCACUAGUCCACCAGAGAAUUCCUUCAUGCAUGUAAUUUUAAAUAUUCUAGUGGUCAAGUUAAAAAAAAAAAAACAUAAAUCAGUGAAGUUAAUUUUAAUCUAAUAUGCUUUAAAUAUUAUCACUUAACACAUAGCCAACAAAAAUAUUACUGAGAUGUGUUUUACAUUCUUUUGGUUUUGUGCCAAGUCUUCAAAAUCUAGUAUAUAUGUCAUCCUUACAACACAUCUUAGUUCAGAUUACCCACAUUUCAAGUCAUUAGUAACCACAUAUCGAUACAUAUAGAUUUACAUCAGACGGCUCAGAUUUAGACAUAAUUUAUGUCUAUGACAUGGUAUAAAAAUAAAGAUCUAAGAGUUGGAGUUCCCAUUGUGGCACAGUGGAAAUGAAUCUGACUAGGAACCGUGACGAUGCAGGUUCGAUCCCUGACUUUGCUCAGUGGGUUAAGGAUACAGCAUCGCUGUGAGCUGUGGUGUAGUGUCACAGAUGUGGCUCAGAUCCUGUGUUGCUGUGGCUGUAGUGUAGGCUGGAAGCUGUAGCUCUGAUUCA
rnacentral:lncRNA from 1 species